AGUCGAACGAGAAAGUGGAGCAAUCCAUGAGUACAGUGGCGACCGGGUGAGUAACACGUGACUACCUACCCUUGAGUGGGGGAUAACCUCGGGAAACCGAGGCUAAUACCGCAUAAAAUCGAAAGAUCAAAGGAGAAAUCCGCUUUUGGAGGGGGUCGCGGCUGAUUAGCUAGUUGGUAAGGUAAUGGCUUACCAAGGCGAAGAUCGGUAUCCGGCCUGAGAGGGCGCACGGACACACUGGAACUGAAACACGGUCCAGACUCCUACGGGAGGCAGCAGUGGGGAAUUUUGCGCAAUGGGGGAAACCCUGACGCAGCAACGCCGCGUGGAGGAUGAAGCCCCUUGGGGCGUAAACUCCUUUCGACUGGGAAGAUUAUGACGGUACCAGUGGAAGAAGCACCGGCUAACUCUGUGCCACAC
rnacentral:rRNA from 1 species